UGCGGGUGCGAUGGAAAACUGAGUCAAAUGCUUUGGUGUAGUCAAGAAGAGUUAGGAAGGUUAAAUUUCCGUUAUCCAUUCUUUCUCGGAUAUCUUAUUCCAUUUUUUUAAUGGCAGUAGUU